GACGAACGCUGGCGGCGUGCUUAACACAUGCAAGUCGAACGGUGAAGCUCCAGCUUGCUGGAGUGGAUCAGUGGCGAACGGGUGAGUAACACGUGAGCAACCUGCCCCUGACUCUGGAAUAAGCGCUGGAAACGGCGUCUAAUACUGGAUACGAGAAGGGUCCGCAUGGGCACUUUCUGGAAAGUUUUUCGGUUGGGGAUGGGCUCGCGGCCUAUCAGCUUGUUGGUGAGGUAAUGGCUCACCAAGGCGACGACGGGUAGCCGGCCUGAGAGGGCGACCGGCCACACUGGGACUGAGACACGGCCCACACUCCUACGGGAGGCAGCAGUGGGGAAUAUUGCACAAUGGGCGAAAGCCUGAUGCAGCGACGCCGCGUGAGGGAUGACGGCCUUCGGGUUGUAAACCUCUUUCAGCAGGGAAGAAGCGAAAGUGACGGUACCUGCAGAAGAAGCACCGGCUAACUACGUG
rnacentral:rRNA from 1 species